rnacentral:tRNA from 1 species
GUUUCUGUAGUUGAACACAACGGUGGUUUUUC